UGGGGAAUAUUGCACAAUGGGCGCAAGCCUGAUGCAGCCAUGCCGCGUGUGUGAAGAAGGCCUUCGGGUUGUAAAGCACUUUCAGCGAGGAGGAAGGUGGUGAACUUAAUACGUCAUCAAUUGACGUUACUCGCAGAAGAAGCACCGGCUAACUCCGUGCCAGCAGCCGCGGUAAUACGGAGGGUGCAAGCGUUAAUCGGAAUUACUGGGCGUAAAGCGCACGCAGGCGGUUUGUUAAGUCAGAUGUGAAAUCCCCGGGCUCAACCUGGGAACUGCAUUUGAAACUGGCAAGCUAGAGUCUCGUAGAGGGGGGUAGAAUUCCAGGUGUAGCGGUGAAAUGCGUAGAGAUCUGGAGGAAUACCGGUGGCGAAGGCGGCCCCCUGGACGAAGACUGACGCUCAGGUGCGAAAAGCGUGGGGCAGCAAACAGGAUUAGAUACCCUGGUAGUCCACGCUGUAAAACGAUGUCGAUUUUGGAGGUUGUGCCCUUGAGGCGUGGCUUCCGGAGCUAACGCGUUAAA
rnacentral:rRNA from 1 species